rnacentral:rRNA from 1 species
UACGUAGGGUGCGAGCGUUAAUCGGAAUUACUGGGCGUAAAGUGUGCGCAGGCGGCUUCGCAAGUCGAGUGUGAAAUCCCCGAGCUUAACUUGGGAAUUGCGCUCGAAACUACGGAGCUGGAGUGUGGCAGAGGAAGGUGGAAUUCCACGUGUAGCGGUGAAAUGCGUAGAUAUGUGGAGGAACACCGAUGGCGAAGGCAGCCCCCUGGGUCAAGACUGACGCUCAUGCACGAAAGCGUGGGGAGCAAACAGG